CCAGAUCACUUUUAAGGGUCUCUUCCAAUUCAAAUAAUGGUAUGAUUCUCAGUUUCUAUAAAUUGUGCAAAAUAUCUUAUUAUCGUUUCCUGUUCCUUCUUCCUAUUAUAUCCUGACCUACCUUUUGGUCUUUCAGAAAUGAUAUCUGAGCCCAGCUUCAAUCCAGAUUUCUGUAUUUUAGUAAUGCAUCAGGAGAGCAGAAUCUUUGUCUCCAGAACUGAGCAGGAUAGUCAAGCAUCCUUGGAAUUCUUCAUUCGCUGUCACAAGGACCCUUCUGCUGAUUCAGACGUAAGGAAGACAUGCCAGGCUCCCUCUGAAACCCUGCAAAGCCCAGGAAGCUCUUUCUGCUAUCUCCUCGAUCAGCCUGCAAGGUUUUGCAUUACUUCAUGCUUUAAACACAAGUACCGUACUAUCGGCUGGUGGUGA
rnacentral:lncRNA from 1 species